rnacentral:sRNA from 1 species
UAAGAUGUCGUACGGAAAUGCCUGGCUC